rnacentral:lncRNA from 1 species
GGACAUGGCUCUUGCUUCCUUUCUGAGCAGGCCAAGGACCUACAGUUCAUAACUGCCCCAUAUUUUUGGUAAACUGAGGGAAAAGCCUGUAUCCUGACAAAUCUGUCUGUCACUUACAGGUUUACAUGAGUUCAAGGGCGGAAGUUCAUCAGAGAGAAAUCCACCAAGAUUAAGGACAUAGUGACUGCAGUAUUUGCAAGAAGUUGCUGAGCAGUAAUUGUUGGAAGUGGACACCAGUGGAAAGUACCAAAUAUGUCUGCUGAAGUUUAUUCCUCCUUGAGUGCCUAUUGUGGCUGCUGAUGGAGACAAGAUACUGAACUGUGAACUUUCAGCCUGCCUUGAUAUUUUCUUCGAGGAGAUUAUUCAUGGAGCAAGGAUCUAAAAUAAAAAUUGAGGAGGAUGGAGCAAAGCUGGGCUUUGGUAACAGAUGCUCAUUGUGACGUGAACGUAAUUUCAGUACCUGCAGAGGAGAAAUGACGACCGGAGCCACUCAAGCUUAAAGGUUAGUUUAUUUCAAAUGAUUUUGACGUCAAUAGGCAGCGAUAUAUAUAUAGCAAAAUAUUUUUCCUCCUUACCACAGGGCCUUUAAAAGGAUAUCUUUGUUGUGUUAGUUGCCAUAGCAGUGACUAGCAU